rnacentral:sRNA from 1 species
CUCCAGCACUGUGCCUGACAACCUGCUGCUGCCAUGCUCCCCAUAAUGAUGGCCAUGGACUCUAUUAGCCUUGGGAAUGGUAGUCAGCCACACUCCAGAGAGGUGAUCCGAAUGAAACCUUACUGCCUAGGGUAGGCCUUCCUGAGGACAAUGAAUGAACACAUCUUCCAUUUUGCCCAACCCAAAGACCACCAAGACCAGCUCAGCGCACAAGCAUCUAUUCCUGAUUCUAAUCCUCAUACUCGGCCAAGCAGCAAAAUGUCUCACACAGAGAAAGCAAAUAUAUGAAAAUGCCUAACUGGCAAGCUAUCAAGUUAUUGUCAAUGUAUUACAGUGCAGUAAAACGAAACGAUCCUUUCUGCCUGGCCAAGACUGAUGACUGAUGAAGUACAAACUCCCCAAGACUGUGACGUCCCUGACACCCCUAAAAUAAGAGAUCGGAUAUGUGUGAGGCUAGUCUUCUCUCACAAGGCCUUGAAAAAUACAAGCUAACUUUCUAAGCUAGAAUUUCCUUGUCUUUAAAUCAGAGUUCAACAUAUCUAUUGUAUUUUAUCCUUUACGUAGGAAGACAUCAAGUUUCCUUAGUCCCUAAAGUUUUGUUUGCUGAGUCCACUCCUGGAUACGGGAGGUGAGGACGAGGUUCAGGUUUGGGCAUUCAGUUUUUCUUCUUCCUCUGAGCAAAUGGGCUUAAGACCCAA